rnacentral:rRNA from 1 species
UAAUUGAAGAGUUUGAUCAUGGCUCAGAUUGAACGCUGGCGGCAGGCCUAACACAUGCAAGUCGGGCGGUAACAGGGAGAAGCUUGCUUCUACGCUGACGAGCGGCGGACGGGUGAGUAAUGUAUGGGGAUCUGCCUGAUGGCGGGGGAUAACUACUGGAAACGGUAGCUAAUACCGCAUAAUGUCU